AUUGAACGCUGGCGGCAGGCCUAACACAUGCCAGUCGAGCGGAUGAAGGGAGCUUGCUCCUGGAUUCAGCGGCGGACGGGUGAGUAAUGCCUAGGAAUCUGCCUGGUAGUGGGGGAUAACGUCCGGAAACGGGCGCUAAUACCGCAUACGUCCUGAGGGAGAAAGUGGGGGAUCUUCAGACCUCACGCUAUCAGAUGAGCCUAGGUCGGAUUAGCUAGUUGGUGGGGUAAAGGCCUACCAAGGCGACGAUCCGUAACUGGUCUGAGAGGAUGAUCAGUCACACUGGAACUGAGACACGGUCCAGACUCCUACGGGAGGCAGCAGUGGGGAAUAUUGGACAAUGGGCGAAAGCCUGAUCCAGCCAUGCCGCGUGUGUGAAGAAGGUCUUCGGAUUGUAAAGCACUUUAAGUUGGGAGGAAGGGCAGUAAGUUAAUACCUUGCUGUUUUGACGUUACCAACAGAAUAAGCACCGGCUAACUUCGUG
rnacentral:rRNA from 1 species